CUUAAUAGUAAUGAUGCUGGCAUGGAUUAUCCCCAAUCAAUCACACAUGGUCAUCCUGACUAUGGUGACCCUGUCAGAACAUGAUUGACACUCCAACACAUUGGAUUCUCUGACAGUGUGGUGACACUGCCAGAAAUUUACAAUCAUUCACAUCUGUUUAGUUGACAAUAUGGUGACCGUAGAAUUACCACAAUCCACCACUUGUCAACAACCUGUCAGAUCUGUAAUACAUUGCUGGGUGCAAUCUCAAGGGGCCCCAUUAGUAGUAACAAAAGACACACAACACCAGUUAUAAAACAAUUUUACUCCACCCAGGUAAAUCUGACAUCUAUUUCUGUAGUGAGAGACCCAAGGAAAUUACUUUAGGUCUCUAUCCCUAUUAUUCCAGAACAUAUAUAUCAACCUGAAAUGGAGGGAUGCCCACC